CAAUUCCCAUCCCCCACGCAGCACGCGCUGCAUCGCGCCGACGCCAUUAACGUUACUGACUGCUUUGCUGUGCUUAACUGACGUCUCUGACUGCUUUGCUGUAAUUUUAGGGAGAACAUCGUUUGCCGUCAGUGUAACCAAGAAAGUAAUCGGACGGUCUUGGAUGUUGAUGCAGUGGAGCAGAAAUUGGCAGACCCCACCUUCCAGAAACAAGUGGUUACUGUGGUGGCAGUACUGUGGAUGAAGCCACGAGAAGAAUGAGGGCCUUCCUUUUGGACCACCCCUUAUCAAGAGAGUUCAAUUGUGUUAGCCGGCAUGGAAAGUGAGAGUUUCAGGGGCUCAGACUGCUUGAGGUUGUAUAAGGAAGCUUAAAAAAAAUCUCUUAACCAAAUUACCAGAAAAGAGGCAGAAAAGUCAGCGUCAAAGUGGCUAGUCACAUAGUAGAGAGCAAGAUAGGGUCAUUGGGAGAGCGAGGACAGAGGUGUGAGGAGCUGCACGGUUGGUUUGUUUGUUUGUGAAAUGUAUUUUAGAGUUUUCAGAUAUGCGUAUACAAACGAUACAAGUUAUUCCAAAUAAUGUUUGGCAGGAGCUUCACUUUAACUUUUUUUUAAGAUGCUUAUGUUUUAUAAAGUUGUAAAUACACAAGAUAUAAUGGUCAUGUUCAAAUUAUUCCAACGAAACCUCGUUUAAAGCAUGCAGAAUACAAGUUAUGAAGAUUUUUUAAUUUUUUUUUUUACAAGAAAUAAAGUUUUUCAGGAGCUUAAAAUUAACUUUUU